rnacentral:rRNA from 1 species
UGACUUAAAUCUAUAUGGCCCCUGGAUUGGACUGCGGCCGAUCAGGCUGUUGGUGAGGUAAUGGCCCACCAAACCUGUAACCGGUACGGGCUCUGAGAGGAGGAGCCCGGAGAUGGGCACUGAGACAAGGGCCCAGGCCCUAUGGGGCGCAGCAGGCGCGAAACCUCUGCAAUAGGCGAAAGCCUGACAGGGUUACUCUGAGUGAUUUCCGUUAAGGAGAUCUUUUGGCACCUCUAAAAAUGGUGCAGAAUAAGGGGUGGGCAAGUCUGGUGUCAGCCGCCGCGGUAAUACCAGCACCCCGAGUGGUCGGGACGUUUAUUGGGCCUAAAGCAUCCGUAGCCGGUUCUACAAGUCUUCCGUUAAAUCCACCUGCUUAACAGAUGGGCUGCGGAAGAUACUAUAGAGCUAGGAGGCGGGAGAGGCAAGCGGUACUCGAUGGGUAGGGGUAAAAUCCGUUGAUCCAUUGAAGACCACCAGUGGCGAAGGCGGCUUGCCAGAACGCGCUCGACGGUGAGGGAUGAAAGCUGGGGGAGCAAACCGGAUUAGAUACCCGGGUAGUCCCAGCUGUAAACGAUGCAGACUCGGUGAUGAGUUGGCUUAUUGCUAACUCAGUGCCGCAGGGAAGCCGUUAAGUUUGCCGCCUGGGGAGUACGGUCGCAAGACUGAAACUUAAAGGAAU